GAGGCCGAAAGGCGUAGUCGAUGGGAAACGGGUUAAUAUUCCCGUACUUGGUGUUACUGCGAAGGGGGGACGGAGAAGGCUAUGUUGGCCGGGCGACGGUUGUCCCGGUUUAAGCGUGUAGGCUGGUUUUCCAGGCAAAUCCGGAAAAUCAAGGCUGAGGCGUGAUGACGAGGCACUACGGUGCUGAAGCAACAAAUGCCCUGCUUCCAGGAAAAGCCUCUAAGCAUCAGGUAACAUCAAAUCGUACCCCAAACCGACACAGGUGGUCAGGUAGAGAAUACCAAGGCGCUUGAGAGAACUCGGGUGAAGGAACUAGGCAAAAUGGUGCCGUAACUUCGGGAGAAGGCACGCUGACACGUAGGUGAAGUGAUUUACUCAUGGAGCUGAAGUCAGUCGAAGAUACCAGCUGGCUGCAACUGUUUAUUAAAAACACAGCACUGUGCAAACACGAAAGUGGACGUAUACGGUGUGACGCCUGCCCGGUGCCGGAAGGUUAAUUGAUGGGGUCAGCGCAAGCGAAGCUCCUGAUCGAAGCCCCGGUAAACGGCGGCCGUAACUAUAACGGUCCUAAGGUAGCGAAAUUCCUUGUCGGGUAAGUUCCGACCUGCACGAAUGGCGUAAUGAUGGCCAGGCUGUCUCCACCCGAGACUCAGUGAAAUUGAACUCGCUGUGAAGAUGCAGUGUACCCGCGGCAAGACGGAAAGACCCCGUGAACCUUUACUAUAGCUUGACACUGAACAUUGAGCCUUGAUGUGUAGGAUAGGUGGGAGGCUUUGAAGUGUGGACGCCAGUCUGCAUGGAGCCGACCUUGAAAUACCACCCUUUAAUGUUUGAUGUUCUAACGUGGACCCGUUACCCGGGUUGCGGACAGUGUCUGGUGGGUAGUUUGACUGGGGCGGUCUCCUCCUAAAGAGUAACGGAGGAGCACGAAGGUUGGCUAAUCCUGGUCGGACAUCAGGAGGUUAGUGCAAUGGCAUAAGCCAGCUUGACUGCGAGCGUGACGGCGCGAGCAGGUGCGAAAGCAGGUCAUAGUGAUCCGGUGGUUCUGAAUGGAAGGGCCAUCGCUCAACGGAUAAAAGGUACUCCGGGGAUAACAGGCUGAUACCGCCCAAGAGUUCAUAUCGACGGCGGUGUUUGGCACCUCGAUGUCGGCUCAUCACAUCCUGGGGCUGAAGUAGGUCCCAAGGGUAUGGCUGUUCGCCAUUUAAAGUGGUACGCGAGCUGGGUUUAGAACGUCGUGAGACAGUUCGGUCCCUAUCUGCCGUGGGCGCUGGAGAACUGAGGGGGGCUGCUCCUAGUACGAGAGGACCGGAGUGGACGCAUCACUGGUGUUCGGGUUGUCAUGCCAAUGGCACUGCCCGGUAGCUAAAUGCGGAAGAGAUAAGUGCUGAAAGCAUCUAAGCACGAAACUUGCCCCGA
rnacentral:rRNA from 1 species